AGAGUUUGAUCAUGGCUCAGGAUGAACGCUGGCGGCGUGCCUAACACAUGCAAGUCGAGCGAAGCGAUUUGACGGAAGUUUUCGGAUGGAAGACAAAAUUGACUGAGCGGCGGACGGGUGAGUAACGCGUGGGUAACCUGCCUCAUACAGGGGGAUAACAGUUAGAAAUGACUGCUAAUACCGCAUAAGCGCACAGCAUCGCAUGGUGCAGUGUGAAAAACUCCGGUGGUAUGAGAUGGACCCGCGUCUGAUUAGCUAGUUGGUGGGGUAACGGCCCACCAAGGCGACGAUCAGUAGGGGUUCUGAGAGGAAGGUCCCCCACAUUGGAACUGAGACACGGUCCAAACUCCUACGGGAGGCAGCA
rnacentral:rRNA from 1 species